GGGGCCGUAGUUCAGCUGGGAGAACGCUUGACUGGCAGUCAAGAGGUCAGGGGUUCGAGCCCCCUCGGCUCCACCA
rnacentral:tRNA from 1 species